ACAGAGGGGGCAAGCGUUGCUCGGAAUUACUGGGCGUAAAGGGCGUGUAGGCGGGAUGGCAAGUCGGUCGUGAAAUCCUUCGGCUCAACCGAAGAACGUCGAUCGAUACUGCUGUUCUUGAGGGUUGCAGAGGAGACUGGAAUUCCCGGUGUAGCGGUGAAAUGUGUAGAGAUCGGGAGGAACACCGGUGGCGAAGGCGGGUCUCUGGGCAAUUCCUGACGCUGAGGCGCGAAAGCGUGGGGAGCAAACGGGAUUAGAUACCCCGGUAGUCCACGCUGUAAACGAUGACGACUAGGUGUGGGGGGGUUCAGUCCCUUCCGUGCCGCAGCUAACGCAUUAAGUCGUCCGCCUGGGGAGUACGGCCGCAAGGUUG
rnacentral:rRNA from 1 species